rnacentral:rRNA from 1 species
UACGGAGGGGGCUAGCGUUGUUCGGAAUUACUGGGCGUAAAGCGCACGUAGGCGGCUUUGCAAGUCAGAGGUGAAAGCCCGGGGCUCAACCCCGGAAUUGCCUUUGAGACUGCAUCGCUAGAAUUGUGGAGAGGUAAGUGGAAUUCCGAGUGUAGAGGUGAAAUUCGUAGAUAUUCGGAAGAACACCAGUGGCGAAGGCGACUUACUGGACACAUAUUGACGCUGAGGUGCGAAAGCGUGGGGAGCA